UUUUUUUUUUUUUUUUUUUUUUUCUUUCUUUCCCCU
rnacentral:ribozyme from 14 species